GACGAGGCGAGCAGGAGAGAAAAAUGGCCGACAGAUUCUCUAGAUUCAACGAAGAACGUGAUUUCCAGGGUGGAAAUCACUUUGACCAGUAUGAGGAAGGUCAGUUGGAGUUGGAACAGGCGUCUUUGGACAAGCCCAUAGAAUCGCGAAUUGGCCCCAAUUAGCUAAGCAGCUCUGACCCGGUUUGUAUCUGCACGCUCUGCUCUCCUCCUCCUGUCUCUUUAGGGGCUCCUUGUAACGCUUUUCUCACUCUCUCUGUCUCUCACCUCUUCUCUCUCUCUGUCUCUCUCAUCAUUCUGUCCCUCUUUCUGUCUUUCCAACACAGUGAUUCGGUGUACAGUACCCUCUGUCAUUAUGUGCUGGCAUGGUGCUUGUGCAACUUGGACUGCAUUUUUUGCUGACUAGGCAUGUAAAUAAUAUCGCAGGCAGCUUUCGUCUCUGUCUCUCUGUCUAGUUCUUCUGGUUCGCUCUGUAUUUCAGGGGCUUGCAUGCUUGAUAUCUCUCCUCCUCUCCAUGUUGUCCUUUCUGCUCCAGUUACACCAAGACCCCGUGACUAAGGCAAAUUUAUGCAAAUAUGAUUAGGUAAAUUUUCAAAAAUGUCCUGU